rnacentral:misc_RNA from 1 species
GCGCAUUUAGGUAGAAGAGGAAGAGAGGCCUUGUAUGAAGAUGAAGAGCUACGUAUGAUAGCCAAGGAUGACUUGCCUAUCUCCUGCCAGGGAUGAAAAAUGCACAAGAAUGCGGCCUGCAUCUCUUCCAUGCUCAUAAGGCUCAUUGUCGUUUUGCUUGGCUGGAUAAGAUUGCGAUUGCGACAUGCACGGCAGAUCAACAAGCUAUGGAUUGCUCUUCGCUUU